rnacentral:rRNA from 1 species
ACGCUCGACACCUACGGGAGACAGCAGUGGGGAAUAUUGCACAAUGGAGGAAACUCUGAUGCAGCGAUGCCGCGUGAGGGAAGAAGGUUUUCGGAUUGUAAACCUCUGUCUUUGGGGACGAUAAUGACGGUACCCAAGGAGGAAGCUCCGGCUAACUACGUGCCGGCAGCCGCGGUAAUCUGAGCGGGCUGGCAAGGC